AUUGAACGCUGGCGGCAUGCUUUACACGUGCAAGUCGAACGGUAACAGGGUGCUUACACCGCUGACGAGUGGCGAACGGGUGAGUAAUGCGUCGGAACGUGCCGAGUAGUGGGGGAUAACGCAGCGAAAGUUGUGCUAAUACCGCAUACGUACUGAGGUAGAAAGUGGGGGACCUUCGGGCCUCACGCUAUUCGAGCGGCCGACGUCUGAUUAGCUAGUAGGUGAGGUAAAGGCUCACCUAGGCGACGAUCAGUAGCGGGUCUGAGAGGAUGAUCCGCCUCACUGGGACUGAGACACGGCCCAGACUCCUACGGGAGGCAGCAGUGGGGAAUUUUGGACAAUGGGCGAAAGCCUGAUCCAGCCAUGCCGCGUGUCUGAAGAAGGCCUUCGGGUUGUAAAGGACUUUUGUCAGGGAGGAAAUCCCUAGUGCUAAUAACACUGGGGGAUGACAGUACCUGAAGAAUAAGCACCGGCUAACUACGUGCCAGCCGCCGCAGUAA
rnacentral:rRNA from 1 species